rnacentral:rRNA from 1 species
CCUACGGGUGGCAGCAGUGAGGAAUAUUGGUCAAUGGACGAGAGUCUGAACCAGCCAAGUAGCGUGAAGGAUGACUGCCCUAUGGGUUGUAAACUUCUUUUAUAUGGGAAUAAAAUGUUCCACGUGUGGGAUUUUGUAUGUACCAUAUGAAUAAGGAUCGGCUAACUCCGUGCCAGCAGCCGCGGUAAUACGGAGGAUCCGAGCGUUAUCCGGAUUUAUUGGGUUUAAAGGGGGCGUAGGUGGAUUGUUAAGUCAGUUGUGAAAGUUUGCGGCUCAACCGUAACAUUGCAGUUGAAACUGGCAGUCGUGAGUACAGUAGAGGUAGGCGGAAUUCGUGGUGUAGCGGUGAAAUGCUUAGAUAUCACGAAGAACUCCGAUUGCGAAGGCAGCUCACUGGACUGCAACUGACACUGAGGCUCGAAAGUGUGGGUAUCAAACAGGAUUAGAUACCCUGGUAGUC